AAUAAAUAUAGACAUGAGUUUUUAUGUACAAUCUUGACCGUUCGUCCUAUUUAAAAAAAUUUUAUGGUUAGUAUUUUUAUCGUUAUUAGAUUAUAGAACAUGAAUAAAACUUUAUGCGUGACUUAGUUUUUUAUUUUUUUUAAAAAAAAUUAAAUAAGACGAACGGUUAAAGUUAGACACGGAAACUCAUGGUUACGCUUAUU
rfam:Oryza nivara chromosome 12, whole genome shotgun sequence.